CCCGUCGGUGGCCGGCUGGACGGGCGGCACGGACUUCUCGUUCGUGAACCUGAGCUGGUCCGACCCGGCCGACACGC
rnacentral:tRNA from 1 species